GUAGGGAAUUUUCAUCAUCCAUGGCAGCUAUUGCAAAGAAUGCAAUCAGCUCCGACGAUAAGUUUUUACGUGGUUCUGCUGUAAUUUCUUCCACGGCUGCUAGUGGUUCUGUAGGUGUACAAAAAUUACACCUCAAACAGAGUACCAUCUGCUAUAAGUUACUUCAAGGGAUCUGGUUUUGAGUGCUAUAGGAUCAUCUGCUGAAGCUACACUGGCUGGUUCUCACCCCAAAGGUUGGUAUAGGUGUCACUUUAGGGGGAGUUAACCAGAUAAGUUUAUAUUUUUCUUUUUGGUUGCAUUUGAGUGUCUAAUUACCUGCUUGCCUUCUAUUCUAUUCUCUUUUUUUUUUCUUUCUUUUAAUUGUAAU